AGAGGAGACUGACUAAAGUUUGGUUGACGACGGAGUCCUUGUCACAGCAAAGAAUCAUCCUGCCCUUGUCUAUUCUUGGGUAAAACCCACCCCAGCCUUCCUCAUGGCUCCUGUAAGACUGGCAAAUGCUGAACUUGCUUAUCUGCCUCCAUGAAGCCCUACAUUCCUUUCAUUGUCUGAGAUCUUCCUCAUUAAUAAGUAUUCUCCUUAUCCCAACAACCUGAGUAAAGUCAUCUCCUUGGUUGACUGGUGCAAUUUGUCUUUCACAGUUUUGGUGCUGUGUUUCAGGCAGGAGCAGAAUCCUCACCUUUGGAACCCUGUUCACUCCACCCAGAACAAGAAACAGAUCGAGGAAGAGGCAGAGUAACAACAGCCGGGAAGAAGAUACAGUUUUAUGACUGCCUUUUCACUUAACUGUGUCCUCAUAUGGAAGAGAGGAGAAAAGAGGAGAGGAGGGGAGAGGCAAGUUCUCUUGUGUUUCUUCUUACAAAGCACAAAUGCC
rnacentral:lncRNA from 10 species